CUACGUACACAUUUCCAUGUAACACAAGGACGACAGUUAGUGUUUAUUAAAUACAUAAUGGAGUUGAUUUACUUUUUCUUACUUUUAAGCGUUGAUUUUCUUUCUGUAAUGUUGGCAACUGGUAAGCCAGAUCCACCGAAAGAUAUCCGAGUCGAUGUAAAUGGUAAUACAGCUAAAAUCUCAUGGAUAAUUCCUUCUAACCAAGGUGUAACUUGGUCUCGGAUUUCUCUUACCGAUUCAAAAAACGUCAGUGUGGAUUUAGAUUCAGAACACCCACGUACAUAUAAUGACAUACAAUAUCCAACUUCUAGCUUUGAAAUAGCCAAUCUAAAGAUGUGUUUGGAAUAUAAAUUCAGUAUACAAUAUCUAAGUCAAAGAAAAAGAAGUUCAGAAAUCACCACACAAAAGUUUUGGAUGACAAACACCACCACAGUGACUGCUGAAAUUCACGAAAAUGUUGUUUUAACAUGGAGGACCGGUUUCACCAAAAACGAUGACUUUGUUGUUAUGGACAACAACAAUAAAGUAGUGUAUCAAUCACAAUUUGACAAUAUACUUUAUAAUCGUAAAGAUAAUAAAUACAAUUUUGAUAACAUAACAACAGAUGAAAGCACAAUAAAUAUAACUGUUAUUAGUGUGAACACAACAGAUGCUGGGCUUUACCGAACAAAAAAAGGUGAAAGUGUGGAU